rnacentral:rRNA from 1 species
GACGAACGCUGGCGGCGUGCUUAACACAUGCAAGUCGAACGGAAAGGCCCUGCUUUUGUGGGGUGCUCGAGUGGCGAACGGGUGAGUAGCACGUGAGUAACCUGCCCUUGACUUUGGGAUAACUUCAGGAAACUGGGGCUAAUACCGGAUAGGAGCUCCUGCUGCAUGGUGGGGGUUGGAAAGUUUCGGCGGUUGGGGAUGGACUCGCGGCUUAUCAGUUUGUUGGUGGGGUAGUGGCUUACCAAGGCUUUGACGGGUAGCCGGCCUGAGAGGGUGACCGGCCACAUUGGGACUGAGAUACGGCCCAGACUCCUACGGGAGGCAGCAGUGGGGAAUAUUGCACAAUGGGCGGAAGCCUGAUGCAGCAACGCCGCGUGCGGGAUGACGGCCUUCGGGUUGUAAACCGCUUUCGCCUGUGACGAAGCGUGAGUGACGGUAAUGGGUAAAGAAGCACCGGCUAACUACGUG